rnacentral:lncRNA from 1 species
CUCGACGGUCCACCGUGUUAGCAAUUUUAUUUCACAUGUUUUUUCGAAAUAUUGAAGAUCAUUUUUCGCAAUGUUUCCUGAAAAUUGAUAAAUAUCAAAGCAACGUAGAGCUGUUUGUUCUUGUUCGUAUAAUAAAAUUGAGAAUGGAAAUGGGAAAUUUGUCAAAGAGACAACAACCCGACCAUAGAAAAACAUACAACAGCAGAAUUAAGGUCACCAACAGGUCUUCAAUGCAGUGAAAAAUUCCCGCACCCGGAGGCGUCCUUCAGCUGGCCCCUAUACAAUAUAUAUACUAGUUCAGUGAUAACGAUUUAAUGUCAUGUUUGUCUGUGAUGACCCCCCUUUUCGGGAUUGCAUGAGAAUUGUAGUUAUCUCGUACCCACAUGCACUUGUUUCUAUCCAUAGGAAGGUCGACUAUCCAUAUAAAACUAUUUAUAUGGAUAAUCGACCUUCCUAUGGAUAGAAACAAGUGCCUGUGCUCGUACCACAUCAGAAGG